GUAUUGCUCGGUACAUAUGACUCUGGUCACGUUAGUUGCCGACAGAUCCUGCACUCUCUUUGGAGACAUCCCGAAGGUCUCGAAGCAGUCAUCAGCGUAGUACUGGAUAAGGAUAUGUUGGCCAGAAGAGGCUCAGGAAAUCGACUCCAUGUUACAGUCUGCCAAUACGUGAUGAGUCCAGUUCGCUCACGAUCUUUCAUCAGCUCUGGAGGAUGGGCGAGUUCUUUAGUGGAGGCAUCGCAUUCGUCACUACACAGUAUGUCGCAGAGUAACCCAGAAUGUCGAUCGGUCACCAGAUGUGCCCUGGAAAGACGCAGAUUGUUUGCGCCCUCACGUCCGGUGCUAAACCUGAGUUGAUUUACACAGAUAAUCCUGCGGUGGCUGCUGUCUCGUGCUACAGUGAAACUACACUGAAUAACAGCUGUGUAGGCACAUUUACACAUCCACUCGGGCUUUGUUGACUCUCUGAACAAACACAUUGUUAACGUCCACAUGUUGCAGAUUACUAUAUAAUCUGUGUGAAGACAUAUCAGGGUUACUUGGAGACGUUUUAGUAUUCUUGUGUCAGAUCUU